GUGUGCAUGGCGUAGUGGUUGAGCGUUGGACUAUGACUCUGGAGACCAGGGUUCGAUUCCCACCUCAGCCA